UGAUCAUGAUGAAUGCUUCAUGGAUAAGCAU
rnacentral:piRNA from 1 species